CUAUUUAGUAAUGCUUAACUAAUGCUUCAUAGCGUGAGUUAUUCUAGUGUUACCCAACAAUCACCACUGAUCACCACCAGCUGUCACUCAUCACCUGCACCAGUUAUAAGGACUCUCCACACACACUCUCUUUGUCUAGUCUCGUCUAUGACCAACCGGAUGUGCUCCUUGGAUGUUACUCACCUAAAGACUCCUUACCUGAUGUGCAUCAGGACGUGCGUGCAGUUACAUGGCCGCAGGUUUUCUUAUCAGAGUCUGGCAGCACAGAUGUAUGUUCUUCCUCUGUAGCUCAACCCACAGCGGUUUCUGUUUCUAUCAUGACACUCAGGCAGAAAUGUGAGGAUUUCACAAAGAAAGCAUGUUUUAAGUAAAGUUAUGAUUGAUCAUUUUCCACAUAUCUCUAAUCAAAGUGUAACCAUAUGGUAACACUAUAGUACAGGGAAUACAUAUAAACUAUUAACUAUGACUUUUCCCUCAAUAAAGUCCUAAUUUACUGCUUAUUAAUAAUUAGUAAGAUAGUUUUUAUGUUUAGGUAUUGGGUACGAUUAAGAAUGUAGAAUAAGGUCUUGUAGAAUAAGGCAUUAAUAUAUGCAUGCUAAUAAGCAACUAGUUAAAAGACCCUAAAAUAAAGUAUUACCAACCAUAUAAUUUAGUAGCUUUGAAUAUUUGAAAAACACUGUAAACUUUAACAAGGUUGAACAAAAUGUUUGGUUUAAAAUCUUUUCCUGUGGAGUUGAAAUGACAGAGAACAUUACUAGUGAGGUUUUGGCGGUUUCAAACAUUCACUUUGCUGUGGAGAGCUGUUCAGCCCUGUGCGUCUCUGCUUAAAAUGGUUGAGGCAGUAUAUAUUUGCCCCUGUGUGUAAGAUACUGGUCAGUUUACAACUGGAUAAAAUAACCAGAGACAAGCAGAUGCCAGUGUAUCUUAUUCUUUUAUUAUAGUGAAUUAAAUAUCAGCUUUACCUAGUACCUAGUGUCUGAGAUCAAUAUAUUUUGGCACAAGUAGGCAAAUGUGUCUCAAGCUUGUUUAACUUCCACUUUUUUUUGUUUCACUACUUCCUGGGAACUUUUCUACUGUGAAGCUCUUAGAUUGGUCUUUGACACAUUCUAUCUUGACUUUCGUUAAGUGUUUAGCUUGCCCUAGCAUUAUAAUAUUUUCUGUUGAUUUAAAUUUAUGCAAAAAAUAAAAGAAUAAUAAAAAUUUGAUUUCUUUUCUUUACAAAACACAUUGAGAUUUUGAGAACAAAAUGGCAGAGAGGAACACCAUGGUGGAGAUGAUGGAGGGAGGAACCAGGAAAGACAUUAUGGAGGAAGGAGCCGGAGAGAGACCCAGAGGCAAAGCACCCUAAUGUAGGCCCAUGGCAGAACCGAGGAGACAAAGAGACAAGGCAACAGCAUAGGACCAGGGGGCCAAGGCAGAGCCACGGUGACGAGCGACUAAGGUGGUGCCAGGGUCCUGGAGGACUGAUGCGGAGCUGGUGGGACUGAAGACCAAGGUGGAGCUGGAGGGAAGGGGGAGCCCAAUGGAGCUGAAGGGACGGAGGGAGGAGGCACAGCCAAAGGCCUGUAAGUCCAUGGUAUAGGCAGAGCGACAACUAACUAAGGCGGAGUCGGAGAGACGAAAGAGUCAUAAGGUGGAGCCAUAAGGACAACAGUCCCAGGUGGAGCCAAGGGAACGAGGAGCCAAGGUGGAGCAGAUUGGUUUACAGGCCAAGGUGGAGUAACGGGCUUGGUGGAAGACCGGAAGGCCCAAGGCGGAUCCGAGAAGCAGAGCAGAGGAACUAGAUGACUUUGAAAGGGGAAGCAGGAGAGGGAGGCUGGGUGGGGCCAUCAGUGACAAAGGAGACUUGGAACUGGACGAAACCAUAAGCGACGAAGGAAACUUGGAGCUGCACACAAACAGCUGCAACGGGAGACUUUAGGGAGUCAUAUUUUCCAAUCCAUCAAUUAGUCUAAUAACUUGGCACACCUCACCCUCAACAGCAGGAGUAUGGGCUUGCCUCCACUCCAUGCCUCUAUACUCCACUAAUACAUCCACCUCGACGGACGUUGUUGCUGGCUCAAGCACCUGGUCAGACUCUCUGUGGGGCUUGGGCUCCAUGACGAAAAUGUUUAUCCUCAUUCUUUACCUCCUCAAUAAAAAUUUCUUCAAGGGAGGGUGCUGUUGGUGUGUCAGGUCAAGUGUAAUCCUCCACAACUGACUGCAAACUUGCCUUUCUUUGGAGGGAUGUUAUAGUUGGGAAUGACUUCACACUCAAGGUGAACGCAUUCCAUUACUGUCAGGAGGGACAGAGGACCCAAAAGUGAUAGAAGGAACAGAAACAGUUUAUUAAUAAUGACAAAAAAACACAGGCAGUCUGCCGAGCACCGGCUCUCAGGGUGAACUUAAAUAGUCCACAUCAAACGAAAUGAAGAAAAGGGUCCCAAGCUUGUCAGAGGGCAUACAGCGAAUAGGUUACACAGUCCCGAGCCAGUAGACACAGCACCACCGAUGGCAGAUGGCAAGGUGACCUCAGGCAGCAGGAAGACUGGGCAGAGAACAUGUGCACGACUAGACUGAACAAACAAGACUGGGACUAAGACUAAGACUGACACUACGGAUAAACAUAUAAAGAAGUCUGGCAGGCAUAAAGAGCCGAGUAACACACUAGAAAAUACACAAUAAUCUGGCAAAGAGCUGAGAGAGCAGCAGAGUAAAGUAGCCGAGAAAAUUAGAGUAGAGAAAGAACAGGUGUGGAGAUGAUCAGCGCGAGCGCUGAUUGGAAUAGCGAACAGCUGAGUCUAAGUAGCAGUAAUGACAGGAGAAAGAGAAACAGGGAGAAUAUCAAACCCGACUCAUGACAAUUACACAGGUCAGUAAACCAAGAUAGUUCAGGCAAGCCAUUGUGCUUGCUCUUUCGGAAUACAAACACAUAAAAAAGUGUUAUUUUGCACAGAUAAUGCUGAAGUAUCAUGUCUACAGAUAUAGGCUGGUUAGUACUGUGUGCACCACUGAAUUUAUUGAGACACAGACAAACAGAAGUGCUAAUAAACAAUAUAAUACUACUUUUUCAUUACGGUUGAUGCGCUGAGUAGCCAUAUUGGAUUCUGAAGUUGAGUUGUUGCGGUUUCUCCAAGUUUCCCUUGACAUGAUGGGGGCGUUCGAGUUAAAAGUUCCUUCUGGGAACUAGGGCUGUGUUUGAAAUGGCAUACUAUCAUACUACUCUUACUAUUUCUGCAGUAUCCGGUAUGUAUACUGUGCAUAGUAUGCAAAUUUUCUGUAUGCAUGGAAUACCCAGAUGACCUACUAUAUUUGCCAGAAUCUGCUAAAUACAACUCAAGAACACUGAAAUCAGUAUGGAAGCUGUGUUCGGAAUGGCAUACUACCAUACAACUCUUACUAUAUUGUAGUAUGCAAUGUGUAUACUGUGAAAAGUAUGUGAAUUUUCAGUAUGCAUGGAAUUCCCAGAUUACCUACUACAUUUGUUGAAAUCUGAUGUAUGCAUCUGAGGACACUGCAUGGGGUACUGUUUCCCAAAAUGCAACACGCUCCACGUGACGUUUCAUCUUCCUGAAGAGUGCGGUGUGAUUGGAGGCUGGGAAUAAUUAUGUAGUCUAACACUUUGACACGUUAUUGUAAAGUACAAACUAGCUGUGUUUCCGAAAACACAAUCAUUACAUAAAUUGCACUUUAAUCUCUACUGCACACUUCCGAUCAAGUAACCUUUAUUUAUACAGCGCUUAAUGCAGUACAGAUUUCAAAGCAGCUUUACAGUGAUAUAAUGAUUCAGUGAUGCAAACAGAGUUCAGAGUAUCAGAGUAUGGUCAAUUGAUUAAAGGUGCAGUAAAAUAUCCAAAAACCACUAGGCCAGUGUUAUAUAUUUUGUUCAGUUGAGUACUUACAAUAUCCCAAAUGUUUCCAGCUAUUUGUAAAUCUUGAGAAAAUUGCUAUUUUAACCAAGGCUCCGGGACGUUUGAGAAUCGCCUGUCAAUGGCAUCAUAUCCGCAUUACCCUCGGUUUCCACUUUUACUGCUGUAGAAACCAUGACAACAUAGUCUCGUGGACAAAUGUGGAAGUAGUAGUUGUAGCGUCUAUCAAGCAACUAGCUUGUUUCGUGCAGUCGUUAUGGAACACAUUUAAUCUUUAUCAUUUGCAAAUGACCCAAAAAGAUUUUAGGACAAGAAGAGAAAUAAAACGAGGAUCAACAUCGGUGUGGCUUUUCCUAAAUGGAGAGAACUUCGCGUCAAACUUCAACUAGACAGAGACACCGAACUAGCAUGUGUUUUAAUAGACAGGUGAGUAAAUGUUUGGAUUCCUUUGCUGACAGCAAACUUAUGAUUAUUAUAUCGAUCAACAGUGUUAGUCAUAUUGUUUGAAUGUGUUCUUGUUUAUGCAUAUGAUGUGAAAAAUGGUAAGGUGAUGUUCACUGCGAAUACUUAAAGGCAUGUUAUGAACUGUUGGCUGUAAUUUUAUUGUUAUACUUAGCUUUAGUGAAGUACUUGUCACUGCAUUAAAUAAUGUGUCAAAUGCCAAAAUCAUUUUAAGUUACCAAAAAGGAGGGCCAUCCACGUCAACUCCUUGCAAGACACCUGGAAUGCCUCUUCAAACCCUCUCUACCAUAGCUUCGUCCAGUGACUCACCAUCAGAUAGCUAUAAAAUGCUUUACAGAGAUCAGUGUUUUCAGGAGCCUGGAGUCGAACAUCUUUCUAUGCCAGAAAGCGAUGACCACCUGUUACAUGAAAGGUCACUUUUAGAUGUGUUAUUAUGUAAAGAUGUGUUGUUAAAAAUUAUUUUAUCAUAUAGGCGAGCAUCACAAGCCACAAAUUGCAGUGUGGCAUAACCAAGCCAGUAUUAUGCAUACCGACAUUACAAACCAAUGUUGUUUUUUUGGGCGGUGUUGAGUAGUUUUUCCAGGAUGAGCUUCCAUGAUGAGUCUACCAUUACCAUGAGUGAAGAUGCCAAUGAUCUUCAGAACACAGUGAUUGAAUUGAAAGACCCAGAUGAUGCAACAUGUGAAAUAGACAGUGAGGACAACACUUCUGAUGAGGACUAUGUCCCCUCUAUCUGUCUUAGAACUGGUGAAGGAUCUAAAGACUUUAGGAAAAUUGAGGAGCUUAAAGUAAUUAGUCUAGAAGAAACAGUCCAUCUUACACAAGAAGAUGAAGUGCUACCCCAACGUGAAGAACAUGUUCCUACAUCUUAUGGUAGCCACCAAGUCAUGUGUGAGGAGGACAUAGUUGGACAACGGGCAUCUAUUGUAUAUGAAGAAAAAUGAUGAAAGAGCUGGUCACGCUUCUGCAGCUACCUGUAGUGAAGUGUAAUUUCAGUAACACAAUUACAAAAGAUACCUGCCAGGCUUCACCACCUUUUGAAGUCCAUCUGACUUCCAGGGGAACAGCAGGUGUCAUCCAAUGGAUAUGUUCAAAUGGGCACAAGGUAUGGACUUGGAAUUUGCAACCUACACUCAAAUUUGGAAUGCAGGCAGGGGACAUGAUGGCCACCAACAUUCUGCUGUCGGGAAAUAACUACUACAAAGUGUCACACCAGUUUAAUUACAUGAACAUGGGCUUUGUAUAUUCAGGAUAGCUACUGCUUAGGAGCAAUAAGGGACAUGUGGGAGGACAAGAGAAGUGCUGCGAUUCAACGUCUGAAGAUACGUCCUUUGAACAUAAAUAAAUGCCCGUCGAUAGAAGAACAUGAGGGCAGCAGCAUGCUUCUUUAUUAUGGAAUUUAUUAUGUAUUCUGCACACACUGCAGCUGGGGAUGACCACGUGGUUUCCUGCCCCAAGCGAACCACACUGCCACAAGACGAAAUUUAUGUAAGCAGCAUAGCGGUAUUCCCGGUUGUCAUCCCCAGGUUCCUAUGUGUCAUGGAUGGCAUAUAUGUUGUUUCUUAAACGGCGUGACAAGCGCAAUAUGUGCUCAUCCAAUAUGUAUAAUGACAUUUGGGGCAACAUGCUUACACAUGUGCCCUCUGUCAUGCCACAACAUUUAUUUUCAAGAUCAGACGGCAUUUCAAUGCAUCUUGUACAGGUACACCAUCGAGGUACAUCCUGUAAUUGCUGUUCCUCUAGAUGAGCAGGUGGUUGGAGAACAUCAAAGAUGAGGCCUGGUUCUCUAUUCAUAACUCUAAGUUCAUCCACGUUCAUGUUCCCUAUAACAUCCUGAAAAAAACAGCAUAAAUGUUAAUGCCAAAAACACAGAACUUGUUUUGGAAACUUGAAGUAUGUCCAUACUCACUUGUGUCAUCAACCUCCUGUCCUCUUGCAGCCUAGACACCAUCAAUCUGUCCUCUUCACACAGUCCAGAUGAUGCAGUGUUUCCUCUCCCUCUAGCUGCCUGUCUUCCCCUUGUAGACCUUCUCCGUCUACUUGCUGGUCUUCCUCUUGCUGCACUGCUAAGUUCAACAGCUUCAGUUGUCUCUUCUGGUGUCUUCACUCUGUAAGCUCUUCCCAUCCCUUUUGCUCUUCCCGUCCCUUGUCUUUUUCCCCUGUCCGCACCUUUUGCUCUUCCCUGUGAUGCUUCAUGCCAGCUGCUCUGGGGAGGAUUCCAGGUCUCAUCAGUAUUUGACAUGGAUACUUCCAGUGAGGAUCUAUCUGUAUCUCCCUGCAACAUACUCACAUGUCAACAAAAGCAAAUAAAAACAAUUGUAUAUACAGAUAUGACAUGACAGCUGACAAUACAUAGACAUAAACUUGAAAAACUAUCUAAUGUUUUUACUUUUACAUAGUUAUGUGGAGUACAUAAUCCUAAAUCACACUGAAGUAGUAAUUCAGCAUGCUUAAUUUUAUAUAUUCCAAAUGUUGCAUACUGUAUGAGUAAUGUUUAUGUAAGGACAGUGUUACUGCAUUUUGUUUGUUAUUAGUUUAUUGACAUGGUUUAUCACGUCAGGUGAAGUGUAUAGCAAUGUAAAUUAAUACAGUAUGUGUUAUACAUAAAUAUUAAUCAUCCUUUUUGCAAAUAAUGUGGGUACGUUCCUAUUUACUUUUACUAUGAUUGUUUUAAAAGAGUAAAACUGUGCAGCGUUACCACACCAUUGAAUUCGACAAAUACAGUAACAUCUAUGACAACCAAUUUAAUAUUAAACCUUACUACUUGCGGCUAAUUCAUUAUAAUGAAAUAA